UACGUAGGGUGCGAGCGUUGUCCGGAAUUAUUGGGCGUAAAGAGCUUGUAGGCGGUCUGUCGCGUCUGCUGUGAAAACCCGGGGCUCAACCCCGGGCCUGCAUUCGAUACGGGCAGACUAGAGUUCGGUAGGGGAGUCUGGAAUUCCUGGUGUAGCGGUGAAAUGCGCAGAUAUCAGGAGGAACACCGGUGGCGAAGGCGGAUCUCUGGGCCUUACCUGACGCUGAGGCGCGAAAGCUAGGGGAGCAAACGGG
rnacentral:rRNA from 1 species